GUCCUCCCGCGUUCCCAACGUGCUUGCAUAAGUAUCCUUCGUAGGACCCGCGCUUCUUUUCUUGAAAGUCGAUUUUGCUGGAAUUCUGUAACCUUGUGCUGCGACACCCCAGGGAAAUGGAGGCACCACGCGGUUAAGGAGUUUCUGCUCCGCUGCCCACGUAAUAUGAGCGGCUGAAACACUGAAAGCGGUCUCCUGCCUUCCAGCCGAGAACGCACACUGUCUACUUCUGUCACGCCUUCCCACCCUGACUUACCUGAAUUUCGUGGUGAUUUCAGCCAGCGGUAGCAGCAGCCAGUCUGUGAUACCGCUGUAGUCGAAGAAUCAAACAAAGACGCUAUGGGUUGGAAAUCCAUCUGGUCUGUUCCCACCCCCACUUUACAGGUGAAGAAACCGAAACUUAGAAAAGUGACUUGACCGAAAGGCACAAUUGCUUGGCGUCAGGGCCGGAUUUCGAAAUGCCUGUUAAUAUUCUGCCACUGCUCAGGCUUUUAGUAAGGGUGAGCGCCAUCUGAUGCCCAACUCACCAAAAUAUUCAGAAGUGCAGCCAUGCUUAUAUCAAAUGGUAAAACUUAGGUUAUAAAAGCUGUAUUUAACGCUGUUUUCAGCUGUUUGUAUUUAUCAUCUAAUUUUAAUUACGCGCAUUUAGUCUAAUAAAAUAACAUCAGUUGCUUUUGAGAUCUGCUUUUCUAUGGAAAAGCAGAAAAAGCAGGAAACGCCUAAAAAGAAGACUGCAUAAGAGCUUUAUCAUUUUUUACCUAAACUUGAAGGCUUUCCUAACCCUAAAAAAGAAUCAGUGGGAUCCUUCUGUACCCUCAUGACUAUGAAUAUUUGUUCCAUCAACUACACUAGUUGGAGAUUUGCUUGGAUGUAAACAAGAAACUCGGUUUUUGACUGAUCCAACCUACGGCCAGAAGCGUGAGAGUACAGCCAAUUCCCUCCAGGAGAACCACCAGGCGAAUGUAGGAAACUGCCUCUGCUGAACUGAGCUAGCUCCCCAGGAACACACACACCUCAGACGUGACCAGCCACAUCCGUCACCACGUAUGAGCUGCGUCCACCCACAUCUGGAGUUACAGCUUCCGUCUAGCUGCAGAGAAUGCUCCUUCUGCCACCUCAAGAUCACUCACAAGCUGCAGCUCUUCCCAUGCCACCUCCACAGAUGUCAAGGAGUUUUCAGGGGUCCCUCUUGUAAUUUGGCUGAAUGAAACUCAUGCUAAUUCCUCAGGAAGGACUCAUGACAACACUAUUCCCUAAAGUUUUACAUGUUGAUAACUUGUGUGCCCUUUAUAAUUCAAAUUCAGUUUGACUGGAUAUAAAGUCCCCAGUUCACUUUUCAUUUCCUUGAGCAUCCUAAAUAUAUUACUGUAUUUUCUUCUGGCAUAAUAAGAGUAUGAUGAUAAUGUACUUCUCUUUCCCUUAUAAAUCACUUGCUGUUUUUGCCUACCUGCCCAAAGAAUUUUUUUCUUUUUCUUUAAUAUCUAAUAACGUUAGUAAAAUAUGUCUGGUGUUGGUUGUUCUGGUUCAGUAUUGUC